GGGGUUUGUACAAGUUUCUAGGUGGUAUAUCAGCUGGAGUUCCUGGUUUUGUUGGCAGCAAAGUAAUUUACUGAAAGGCCAUCAGGAACUGCCAGGAGGAGGCAGGGCUACACUUAGAAAGUGGGUAGGAAGCAAGUGCCAAGCAGCAGGAAGCACAGCCGUCUUUGAACUGGAACAGCCCAGGAGCCUACUGCCUGCCGGGGCGCAUGUGGUUGGGCACAGCUGCGGGCAGUGAGGUGUGAGUGAUGUUGAAAUUCAGAAUGCGCUUCACUUGCAGUGCCCUGCCCAUCUUAAGUCCAGGCAGGAAGGGGAGAGGGCUCUGUCCAACUGCCAAGUGACACACCGUGGUAAUGUAACUGCACUGGAGGGGUGCCCGUUUCUGACUCUGCAGCCUCUUGGAUAUCAAAGUGGAAAUGUCAGGAUGUUAGCUGGACAUACUGUUCUGGCAUUCAUGCAAAGAGCUGGGCUAGAGACGUGAAUUUGGAGUUGUGCAUAUAGGUGGCAUUUAAAGCCACUGGAUGACAGGCGGUGACCAGGAGUGUGAGUGUAAAGAGGGAAGAGAAGAGGAGCGAGGGAUGGAGAAGCUGAGGCUGAGAAGAGCAUGAGAAUUUGCACAAGAUCACACAGAUAAGACCCCAGGUGCAGCCCCUCCCUGGUCCCCAGCUGGCUUCUUUGUACAGUGGAGGAGAUGGACCAGCCUGGAGUCUGGGGAGAUUUUACAGGGCCUGAAACCAACAUCUGACUCUGAACAGAAAGGACGCAAGACCUCGAGGCAAGGCUGCAGAGGCGGAAGGCUCACCUACAUUCUCUCAGCUGGGGUUGGAAUGACAUCUACUCAUGGAGGGAACAUGGCAACCUCUGCCUAUCACAAGCUCUUGCAGGAAGCUGGCUAGAGCUUUGAUGAAUUAAAAAAGGCUUUCAGAAUGGGGGACCUACAGGAAGUGGUCCUUGGAAGUGAAGAGGCUGGCAAUCCCCCUCCUUAAUGGCUGGAAGUCCCUUCCAUCCUCUCAUUUUAAUAACCAUAUUGAUAACCACCACAAUUAGUUACCUCCUGCGUGGCAGGCACUUGAUGUGUGAUAUCAUUUUGUUUAAUCGAGAGGACACCCCAGUGUGGGAGCCCUGAUCUCUGUUUCAGAGUUGAAGAAACUGAGGCUCAGGGCCAAGUGAUUCCCUGAUGGUUUCGCAUGAAGCAGUGGGCCUGUGUGCUUGCCACUUGGCCAGCCCCUGUAUGUCCCACUCAUGAGCUGUGAGCGCUAAGGCCCCCCAUCUGGGAUGCCUGGGGAAGGAGAAGGGCAGAGGUUCUGGGGAACUUGAUUCUUGCCACCCGCUGGGCUUUUGGAGCCCCUAAAAUGUAGCCCAUGAACAGAGCCAGCAAUGAUGGCCUCUCCCCCACAGUCAGACAUGGGGGGCCUCCCCAAGCCUCUCUCACACAGUGUUCUGCUCAGGAGAAGUUUCCCGGAAGCCUGCUCUUGUCCCUGCUGUGUCAUCUUGGACAAUCCCCUUAAUUCUUGGCUGGGGGAAAUCCUCUGUUAGUUCAAGGCUGCUGAGGGGUCAGCAAGAUGAUGGUUGUGAAAGAACUGGGCUUCCUGUGAUUGUGGCUGAUUCCCCUGGACUGAGUCAGGGUGCCAGGGUUUGGCAGCAGCUCCAGAAUUUCUACAAAGGGAGGGCUUAGGGGCAGCCAUCGGUAGGAAAGGGGGCUCGGAGCUGUAUUUGGAUAGCAUCUUCUGAGGAAACAACCUGGAGGUGGGGCAACCGGUCUGUGAGGAUUGCAGAGGGGUGGAGGAAGCCUCCCCAAGGAGGCCCUUGGCACUGCCUCUGCCUGGCUUCAAGGCCUGUCUGUGCUCUUGCCUCACUGAGUGGCCUUGGGCAAGCAACUGUCCCAACCUGGUGACCUGCAGGCUGUCUGUGUGUGAGGGCGCAUGCACUGCUGAGUGAGGGUAAGAAAGGGCCGGGGUGCAUUCAUACCUUUGUGGGACUGGGUUGGGACUCAUCGUCUGAGGGGUCUGGGAAGGUGGCAAGGGAGCAGGGAGAUGCUUUUCUGCCUGUGACUGUGGCUUCCUGAUGAAGGUUACUGGAGGCUUUUAAUAAUAUUAUUAAUGUUAUCAUAGCAACUGAUAUUUACUGAUUGCUUUCUAUAUACCAGACACGGCUCUAAGCAUUAUAGGCACAACUUAAUGGACCUGUUACAACUCCUUGGAAAUAGGUUCUAUUAUCCUCAGUUUGCAAAAGGGGCAGUUGAGGCUUUCAGACUUUGAAGACCUUAUAGCUCAUCAGCUUUGCAACUAGGAUUUGCACCCAGGCAGUCUUCCUUCGAGUGUAACCUCCUGGGCCCCUACUCCAAACUGCUCUUGUGGGGGUGGGGGGCCCAACAGCCUCCUUGCCCACCUCAACUAGCUUGCCAAACUGUAGUAUGAAUAGUCAAUAGUGAGGAAUCAGUCCUUCCUUUAGAAUGUGGCCUGUCUGUGAGAGUGUCUGUCAUCUCUGUGUGAUGUAUGGUGACACUGGAGUGGGAAGCGGGAGCCCUAGCAGCAGCUCUCUGAGAGGCAGGGUAGGCGCUGUGUCUGCCUCAUUCACUGCUUUGUCCCAGGGCUUGGCACAUAAUAGUUGCUCUAUAAACAUUUGCAGAAUAAACACAUGAAUGUGUCCAUGGGGUCCUCCUGCUUGCCUUCAGGGACAGGGCCAUGAGGAAUUAGCCUG